UCUGUCCAUAAUUCCUAAUGGCUGGCCUGAUUCAUGUUACAUCAAAUUAUCUAUAACAUUAUCAGAGAGUUUUAUAUUUCACUACUCCAAAGCUUACAGACAUUCAAAUUACAUAUAGUGGAGUUCUUAUAUAAACUUAAAAUACAGUACUAUGGAAAAAACAAUCAACACAACAGGAAUAUAAUAAACACAUUGAUUACAUGUAAGUUAUGAAAAUCAACACUGAUCAAAAUCUAUUUUAAUAAAUCAUGUGAUACUGAACUAUGGUAAUAACAUUUGAACAUGUCCACAGUGGAUGUUAUUUAAAGGACUAGUGUUAUUGAAUGAUUCAGGCUGUUUAGUACAAAUUGAGUGUACUACUGCUGACAGUUUUUCAGAGCAAAUGUGUAGAUUUUUAAAAGUUGCUUUUGUCUUCCAUUAAAUGUACUUAAGUCUAAAAACUUGAAGACACUUGUUGAA